CCUACGGGUGGCUGCAGUCGAGGAUCUUCGUCAAUGGGCGAAAGCCUGAACGAGCGAUGCCGCGUGUGCGAUGAAGGCCUUCGGGUUGUAAAGCACAAAGGGUGGGAGAAAGCCGAAAGGCGGAUCGACCAUCAGUAAGCUCGGGCUAAGUUCGUGCCAGCAGCCGCGGUAAGACGAACCGAGCGAACGUUGUUCGGAAUCACUGGGCUUAAAGGGCGCGUAGGCGGGCAUCCAAGUCCGUGGUGAAAUCCCCCAGCUCAACUGGGGAACUGCCU
rnacentral:rRNA from 1 species